GACAGAGGAUGCAAGCGUUAUCCGGAAUGAUUGGGCGUAAAGCGUCUGUAGGUGGCUUUUAAGUCCGCCGUCAAAUCCCAGGGCUCAACCCUGGACAGGCGGUGGAAACUACCAAGCUGGAGUACGGUAGGGCAGAGGGAAUUUCCGGUGGAGCGGUGAAAUGCGUAGAGAUCGGAAGGAACACCGGUGGCGAAAGCGGCGCGCUGGACCUCUUCUGACGCUGAGGCGCGAAAGCCAGGGGAGCAAGCAGG
rnacentral:rRNA from 1 species